rnacentral:rRNA from 1 species
CCUACGGUGAGCUGCAGUGGGGAAUAUUGGACAAUGGGGGGAACCCUGAUCCAGCGACGCCGCGUGAGUGAAGAAGUAGUUCGGUAUGUAAAGCUCGAUCAGAAGGGAAGUAAGAAAGGACGGUACUUGAUUAAGAAGACUCGGCUAACUACGUGCCAGAAGACGCGGUAAUACGUAGGGGGCAAGCGUUAUCCGGAUUUACUGGGUGUAAAGGGAGCGUAGACGGCGAUGCAAGUCUGAAGUGAAAGGCGGGGGCCCAACCCACAGACUGCUUUGGAAACUGUCUGGCUGGAGUGCAGGGGAGGUAAGUGGAAUUCGUAGUGUAGCGGUGAAAUGCUUAGAUAUUAGGAAGAACGCCAGUGGCGAAGGCGGCUUACUGGACUGUCACUGACGUUGAGGCUCGAAAGCGUGGGGAGCAAACAGGAUUAGAUACCCCAGUAGUC